UGGGGAAUUUUGGACAAUGGGGGAAACCCUGAUCCAGCCAUCCCGCGUGUGCGAUGAAGGCCUUCGGGUUGUAAAGCACUUUUGGCAGGAAAGAAACGUCGCGGGUUAAUACCCCGCGAAACUGACGGUACCUGCAGAAUAAGCACCGGCUAACUACGUGCCAGCAGCCGCGGUAAUACGUAGGGUGCAAGCGUUAAUCGGAAUUACUGGGCGUAAAGCGUGCGCAGGCGGUUCGGAAAGAAAGAUGUGAAAUCCCAGAGCUUAACUUUGGAACUGCAUUUUUAACUACCGGGCUAGAGUGUGUCAGAGGGAGGUGGAAUUCCGCGUGUAGCAGUGAAAUGCGUAGAUAUGCGGAGGAACACCGAUGGCGAAGGCAGCCUCCUGGGAUAACACUGACGCUCAUGCACGAAAGCGUGGGGAGCAAACAGGAUUAGAUACCCUGGUAGUCCACGCCCUAAACGAUGUCAACUAGCUGUUGGGGCCUUCGGGCCUUGGUAGCGCAGCUAACGCGUGAAGUUGACCGCCUGGGGAGUACGGUCGCAAGAUUAAAACUCAAAGGAAUUGGACUGGGGUCGAUAGCUG
rnacentral:rRNA from 1 species